GAUGAACGCUGACAGCAUGCUUAACACAUGCAAGUCGACUUGAAUUUGCGUUUUUAACUUAGGUUUGGGUGGCGGACGGGUGAGUAACGCGUAAAGAACUUGCCUCACAGCUAGGGACAACAUUUGGAAACGAAUGCUAAUACCUAAUCUUAUGAUAAUAGGGCAUCCUAUAAUUAUGAAAGCUAUAAGCGCUGUGAGAGAGCUUUGCGUCCCAUUAGCUAGUUGGAGAGGUAACGGCUCACCAAGGCGAUGAUGGGUAGCCGGCCUGAGAGGGUGAUCGGCCACAAGGGGACUGAGACACGGCCCUUACUCCUACGGGAGGCAGCAGUGGGGAAUAUUGGACAAUGGACCGAGAGUCUGAUCCAGCAAUUCUGUGUGCACGAUGAAGUUUUUCGGAAUGUAAAGUGCUUUCAGUUGGGAAGAAACAAAUGACGGUACCAACAGAAGAAGUGACGGCUAAAUACGUG
rnacentral:rRNA from 1 species